AAACACACUCUUAUGAAGCUUUUAUUUAAUUGAGUUUAGUGGAGGGAACCGUGAGCACCAAUCUUAACCCACAAUUUUGUUUAUUUAAUUGAACCGCGCAUGUUUUUUAUUUUUUAUUUUUGUGAAUAAAUAAAUUUCAUUACUCUAAAAUGAUCCAAUAAGAGUAGGUUCGUAAUUAUCACAAGAAGAAAUUAAGUUGAAAAAGCAAAGAAACACAGCUAAAAAAUAAAUAAAAAACUUAUCAAAGCUUACACACUCAAAACAUGUAGAGCGAGAUGAGCUUUAUCAAAACUUUACAAAAAUCCCG
rnacentral:lncRNA from 1 species